rnacentral:rRNA from 1 species
UACAGAGGGGGCCAGCGUUAUUCGGAAUUAUUGGGCGUAAAGAGCUCGUAGGCGGCUUGUCGCGUCGUCCGUGAAAACCUGCGGCUCAACUGCAGGCUGGGCGGUCGAUACGGGCAGGCUGGAGUUCGGUAGGGGAGACUGGGAAUUCCUGGUGUAGCGGUGAAAUGCGCAGAUAUCAGGAGGAACAGCCGGUGGCGGAAG